GAAAGUAAGAAAGAGUACACGGGGGAUGCCUUGGCUCUCGGAGGCGAUGAAGGACGUGAUAAGCUGCGAUAAGCGCCGGGGAUCUGCAAAUGAGACUCGAUCCGGCGAUUUCCGAAUGGGGAAACCCGCCAUGUUGAAGACAUGGCACAAUAAGAGCGAACCUGCCGAACUGAAACAUCUAAGUAAGCAGAGGAAGAGAAAAUAACAAUGAUUUCCUGAGUAGUGGCGAGCGAAAGGGAAAGAGCCCAAACCGGCCAUGUUACGGCAUGGCCGGGGUUGUAGGACUGUGACGUGGUUAUAAUGCAGCGAAGUGGAACAGGAUGGGAAGCCUGGCAAGAUAGGGUGAUAGCCCCGUACACGCAAGCACCAUUAGCCUAACAGCAUCCUGAGUACCGCGAGGUCGGAGACGCCUUGUGGGAAUCUGCCGGCACCAUCCGGUAAGGCUAAAUACUCCCGAGAGACCGAUAGUGGACCAGUACCGUGAGGGAAAGGUGAAAAGAACCCCGAACAGGGGAGUGAAAUAGAACCUGAAACCGUGUACUUACAAGCGGUCGGAGCCCCGUAUGGGGUGACGGCGUGCCUUUUGCAUAAUGAGCCUACGAGUUACUCUUCACUGGCAAGGUUAAGUGCUUCAGGCACGGAUCCGAAGCGAAAGCGAGUCUGAACAGGGCGCACAGUCAGUGGAGGUAGACGCGAAACCUUGUGAUCUACCCUUGGGCAGGUUGAAGUUGCGGUAACACGUAAUGGAGGACCGAACCGAUAAACGUUGAAAAGUUUCCGGAUGACCUGAGGGUAGGGGUGAAAGGCUAAUCAAACUGGGAAAUAGCUCGUACUCCCCGAAAUGUUUUUAGGAACAGCGUCGGCAUCGAGUUAUACAGAGGUAGAGCUACUGAUUGGGUGCGGGGGAGUCAAAUCCUACCAAAUCCAGACAAACUCCGAAUGCUGUAUAAUAUGGCCGGCAGUGAGGCUAUGGGUGCUAAGGUCCAUGGCCGAGAGGGAAAGAACCCAGACCAUCAGCUAAGGUCCCCAAGUUGCAGUUAAGUUGAACUAACGAGGUGCGGUUGCAUAGACAGCUAGGAUGUUGGCUUGGAAGCAGCCAUUCAUUUAAAGAGUGCGUAACAGCUCACUAGUCGAGCGACCGUGCAUGGAUAAUAAACGGGCAUCAAACUGCACACCGAAGCUAUGGGAUUGAAAUAUAUCGGUAGGGGAGCAUUCCAUGUGGGGCGAAGCUGUGGCGCGAGCCGUGGUGGACCGCAUGGAAAAGCAAAUGUAGGCAUAAGUAACGAUAAGGCGGGAGAGAAACCCGCCCACCGAAAGGAUAAGGUUUCCUGAUCAACGCUAAUCGGAUCAGGGUUAGUCGAGGCCUAAGGCGAACCCGAAGGGGGUAGUCGAUGGACAACGGGUUAAUAUUCCCGUACCUUUUAUAAUUGCGAUGUGGGGACGGAGUAGUGGAACUGCCGCGGCCUGACGGAAUAGGCCGUUGAAGACGGUAGGUAUACGCACGGUAGGCAAAUCCGCCGUGUGUGCCGAGAGUCGAUAGUACCGCGAGCCUUCGGGCAAGUGGAUAGCGCAGGUAAUCAGACUUCCAAGAAAAACCGCUAAGCUCCAGGUUAUAAAAGCUCGUACCGCAAACCGACACAGGUAUCCGGGAUGAGAAUUCUAAGGUGCUCGAGUGAAUCAUGGCUAAGGAACUCGGCAAAAUGGCCCUGUAACUUCGGGAGAAGGGGCGCUGGCAGCAAUGUCAGCCGCAGUGAAAAGGCCCAGGCGACUGUUUAACAAAAACACAUGGCUUUGCAAAAUCGAAAGAUGAGGUAUAAGGCCUGACACCUGCCCGGUGCUGGAAGGUUAAGAGGGGAUGUCAUCAGCAAUGAGAAGCAUUGAAUCGAAGCCCCAGUAAACGGCGGCCGUAACUAUAACGGUCCUAAGGUAGCGAAAUUCCUUGUCGGGUAAGUUCCGACCUGCACGAAUGGUGUAACGAUCUGGGCGCUGUCUCAGCCAUGAGCUCGGUGAAAUUGUGGUCCCGGUGAAGACGCCGGGUACCCGCAACGGGACGGAAAGACCCCAUGCACCUUCACUACAGUUUAACAUUGACAUUGGGUACAGGAUGUGUAGGAUAGGUGGGAGGCUUUGAAGCGGCGUCGCCAGGCGUCGUGGAGCCAACGUUGAAAUACCACCCUUUCUGUAUUCGGUGUCUAACCCCGGCAAUCCGGGGGACAUUGUUUGAUGGGUAGUUUGACUGGGGUGGUCGCCUCCAAAAAGGUAACGGAGGCUUUCAAAGGUAAGCUCAGUACGCUUGGUAACCGUACGGGGAGUGCAAUAGCAUAAGCUUGCUUGACUGUGAGGCAUACAGGCCGAUCAGGGUCGAAAGACGGAUAUAGUGAUCCGGUGGUUCUGCAUGGAAGGGCCAUCGCUCAAAGGAUAAAAGGUACGCUGGGGAUAACAGGCUGAUCUCCCCCAAGAGCUCAUAUCGACGGGGAGGUUUGGCACCUCGAUGUCGGCUCGUCACAUCCUGGGGCUGGAGAAGGUCCCAAGGGUUCGGCUGUUCGCCGAUUAAAGUGGCACGCGAGCUGGGUUCAGAACGUCGCGAGACAGUUCGGUCCCUAUCUGUUGUGGGCGUAGGAAUCUUGAGUGGGGCUGACCUUAGUACGAGAGGACCGGGUUGGACCAGCCUCUAGUGAAUCUGUUGUUCCGCCAGGGGCAUUGCAGAGUAGCUACGCUGGGAAUAGAUAAGCGCUGAAAGCAUCUAAGUGCGAAACUAGCCACGAGAUGAGGAUUCCAUACAGGGCCGUAGCAGACUACUACGUCGAUAGGAUACAGAUGUAAAGGUGGCGACACCACAGUCGAGUAUUACUAAUAGCCCGAAGCUUUCAA
rnacentral:rRNA from 1 species